CCUACGGGAGGCUGCAGUGGGGAAUAUUGGACAAUGGGGGGAACCCUGAUCCAGCCAUGCCGCGUGUGUGAAGAAGGCCCUCGGGUUGUAAAGCACUUUCAGUGAGGAAGAACGCCUGGUGGUUAAUACCCAUCAGGAAAGACAUCACUCACAGAAGAAGCACCGGCUAACUCCGUGCCAGCAGCCGCGGUAAUACGGAGGGUGCGAGCGUUAAUCGGAAUUACUGGGCGUAAAGCGCGCGUAGGUGGCUUGAUAAGCCGGUUGUGAAAGCCCCGGGCUCAACCUGGGAACGGCAUCCGGAACUGUCAAGCUAGAGUGCAGGAGAGGAAGGUAGAAUUCCCGGUGUAGCGGUGAAAUGCGUAGAGAUCGGGAGGAAUACCAGUGGCGAAGGUGGCCUUCUGGACUGACACUGACACUGAGGUGCGAAAGCGUGGGUAGCAAACAGGAUUAGAUACCCGAGUAGUC
rnacentral:rRNA from 1 species